rnacentral:lncRNA from 1 species
GAGGUGGAGGGGCAGGUGGACAAGGGGGUGGUGGAGGUGGUGGAAAAGGAGGCGGUGGAGGAGGAGGUUCUGGCGCCGGUGGAGCUCACGGUGGUGGUUACGGUGCCGGAGGUGGAGCUGGAGAGGGAUACGGUGGUGGCAGUGGAGCUGGGGGACAUGGUGGUGGAGGAGGAGGAGGUGGUGGUUCAGGAGGUGGGGGAGGUUAUGCUGCAGCUGGAUCUGGACAUGGUGGCGGUGCUGGUAGCGGAGAAGGCGGUGGUGGAUAUUGACCGUGCAUGAUAUCAUAUCUAUGUGGAGCAUAAGGGCCACUGAGUAAAGUCUCAUAAUACUCGUAUAAGAGAUUAUAUAUAUAUGGUAACAAAUACACUAAUCAUCUGUAAAAUAAGCCGGAAAAGGGGUUGUUGUUGAUGUUUCUAAUUGUACCAAUGUUAUAUACUACAUUACUACUUCGUGUGUAUCAAAUUUUUAUAUAUGGAGAUGAAGAUAAUAUCUUCAAGAUAUCAUAUUUGUUCCUAUUUUC